GACAAUUUGGUACUACAAAGAACCAAACAUACAACAUAAUCAAAAAACUCAAACCCUAGCCAUUCAAACAACCUUAUCAUUUAUCACUUCCGGCAAACGGCGAUGUCUCAUUUCGGUAGAUCUGGUCCACCGGACAUCAAAGACACAUUCUCUUUGCUAGUUCUCAACGUUACUUUCCGUACCACUGCUGAUGAUUUGUUUCCGUUAUUCGAUAAGUAUGGGAAAGUCGUUGAUGUCUUUAUCCCUAGAGACCGAAGGACUGGAGAUUCUAGGGGUUUUGCAUUUGUGCGCUACAAGUAUCAGGAUGAGGCUCAAAAGGCAGUGGAAAAGCUCGAUGGAAGAGUUGUAGAUGGGCGGGAAAUAAUGGUUCGAUUUGCAAAGUACGGCCCAAAUGCUGAGAGAAUUGACAAAGGUAGAAUUUUGGAGCCUGUAGAUAGGACAAAAGGAAAGUCAAGAAGCCGCAGUCCAAGACCAAGGCAUCGAGAUCAUUAUAGGGACAGGGAUUCUAAAAGGAGAAGCCGAAGUAGAAGUAGGGGGAGGUAUGACCGUGAUCAGUACCGUGGGAGAGACAAAGAUUACCGUCAUCGGAGCAGAAGCCGCAGCCCUGAUUACCACAAAGGUCGUGGGAGAGGUAAAUAUGAUGAGGAGAGGCGCAGCCAAAGUCGGUCUCAUGGAAGUGCCUCCCCUGCACGCCGAAGCCCCUCCCCCGCUCGCCGCAGCCCCAUUCCUCGAAGGAGCCCUUCUCCACGUAGAACAACCCCUUCUAGAGAUGCUAGUCCAGAUGGACGUAAUCACAAGGGCCGGUCUCCUACUCCAAAGAGUAUCUCACCGCGGGGUAGACGUGCUGGUUCUCGCAGCCCCUUGCCGCAUUCUGAUGCUGAUGAUUAAGAAGCAAGGGAGGAGGCCACUGUUGUAAUCUGGCUUUGGUUGAUGCUGCGUAUCAGGACAUUCCCGAAUGAAUGAUCCUUUCAUCUGUAUUCUGCUUGCUAGAACUGAUUGGCCCGACUUAUUUAUAAGCUCCGUGAAAAGUCAGUGUGGCUGAAUCACAAGACGAUGCAGCAGUUGUUGAUGCUGUUAUAUUUGCUGUUGGUUGUAAUUUUGUUGCUGGUUUGUUCGCUGAAUGGCAAGGAGAUGCAGCAGCUGUAGAAUGCUGUUUUUAACUUGGCUGAUAAUAAUUUGUUGCUGGUGACAUACUACUGCUUGUUGGUUGAAUGGCAAGCAGAUGCUGCAGCUGUUGGUGCUGUUUUAGCUUUGCUGUGGUAAUUAUGUUGCCGGUGAGAAAUUACCGUUCUAUACCAAUGUUCAGGAUGCUCAUGAUCGGUAAGGAUAAGAAACUCCUGAAUUACUGAAGUCACGCUAGGUUUAUGCCUUUGGCCUGACAACCAUUUCGUUUCUCUCUUAACUUCAUAUUCUACCCUGGGAAGGUGUUAGUUGUGAUCUCCUUAAUGAAAGAAAUCCAUGCUUAUAUUCUCUCCUUCCUUAUUUGCAUAUGUGCAAAUUAGUUUACACAAAACACGGUAGAACUUUCCUUAUGACAGUAGAAGGGGAAUUGGAGCUUUUGACCUCUGAGGUCGUAAUGGUUUAAGUACCACCACCUUUUAAGUGUGGUUAUGGGAUAGCUAGGGUACUUUCAUUUGAACUCUGGUUGAUUGAUGCAAGUAGGGGGGUAAAUUACUGUGUUAAGGGUGCUCUCUCCCUAUGACUUUGUACCUUUUUGCUAGAUGGAUAUGGAUUUGACAAGCUUGAUGAGGAAGUUGGGAAAGGUAACAAGAUAUUGCUUAGGGAGCAUUUGGUUUUUCCUUGUUGCACAAUACUUUGCAGGGUUGCUUUGUUAUGUUUUUUUUUUUGGGUUGAUGAGGCUGUGAUAAGAAGUUCAAAAGCAAAAAUUAUUUUACCGAUCUAUGCAGUCAUUCCAUCUCCGUGCAUGUUGAAGAUAGUUCUUACAAAUUACUUUGCCGUGCCUGUUGCCAGAGUUCCAUAUUGCAGCAGAAAGAACAAUCCUUCAAUUUCAUUCUGUAUCGACAAACCAAUGGACUGUCCUGCCAAGUGCCAAUCAGCUUUGCGGGUCAUGUAGUGGGGCCAUUUAUUAUUCUUUCUUUAGUCUUUUUUAAAACAAAAUUGUGAUCCGACCAUAAUAACUUGCCAAUUGAACAAUUUCCCUGUAUAAAAUUUACCGCUAAGAAUACUUCAUACCUGGUGUGUACAAUAAACCAAUAAAUGUGUAUUGUGUUUACAUACACUUUUCUUUUAA